GACGAACGCUGGCGGCGUGCUUAACACAUGCCAGUCGAACGGGAAGGCCCUGCUUUUGUGGGGUGCUCGAGUGGCGAACGGGUGAGUAACACGUGAGUAACCUGCCCUUGACUUUGGGAUAACUUCAGGAAACUGGGGCUAAUACCGGAUAGGAGCUCCUGCUGCAUGGUGGGGGUUGGAAAGUUUCGGCGGUUGGGGAUGGACUCGCGGCUUAUCAGCUUGUUGGUGGGGUAGUGGCUUACCAAGGCUUUGACGGGUAGCCGGCCUGAGAGGGUGACCGGCCACAUGGGGACUGAGAUACGGCCCAGACUCCUACGGGAGGCAGCAGUGGGGAAUAUUGCACAAUGGGCGGAAGCCUGAUGCAGCAACGCCGCGUGCGGGAUGACGGCCUUCGGGUUGUAAACCGCUUUCGCCUGUGACGAAGCGUGAGUGACGGUAAUGGGUAAAGAAGCACCGGCUAACUACGU
rnacentral:rRNA from 1 species